AAUUUGGGUUUUUAACUUAGAUUUAGGUGGCGGACGGGUGAGUAACGCGUAAAGAACUUGCCUCACAGCUAGGGACAACAUUUAGAAAUGAAUGCUAAUACCUGAUAUUAUGAUUUUAAGGCAUCUUAGAAUUAUGAAAGCUAUAAGCACUGUGAGAGAGCUUUGCGUCCCAUUAGCUAGUUGGAGAGGUAACAGCUCACCAAGGCGAUGAUGGGUAGCCGGCCUGAGAGGGUGAACGGCCACAAGGGGACUGAGACACGGCCCUUACUCCUACGGGAGGCAGCAGUGGGGAAUAUUGGACAAUGGACCGAGAGUCUGAUCCAGCAAUUCUGUGUGCACGAUGAAGUUUUUCGGAAUGUAAAGUGCUUUCAGUUGGGAAGAAAGAAAUGACGGUACCAGCAGAAGAAGUGACGGCUAAAUACGUGCCAGCAGCCGCGGUAAUACGUAUGUCACGAGCGUUAUCCGGAUUUAUUGGGCGUAAAGCGCGUCUAGGUGGUUAUGUAAGUCUGAUGUGAAAAUGCAGGGCUCAACUCUGUAUUGCGUUGGAAACUGUAUAACUAGAGUACUGGAGAGGUAAGCGGAACUACAAGUGUAGAGGUGAAAUUCGUAGAUAUUUGUAGGAAUGCCGAUGGGGAAGCCAGCUUACUGGACAGAUACUGACGCUAAAGCGCGAAAGCGUG
rnacentral:rRNA from 1 species